rnacentral:misc_RNA from 1 species
UCCGGCUUAUCACCGGCGGUUUCUUUAGAGUGCCCAACUAAAUGAUGGCAACUAGAGACGAGGGUUGCGCUCGUUGCGGGACUUAACCCAACAUCUCACGACACGAGCUGACGACAGCCAUGCACCACCUGUGAUGGUGUCCCGAAGGAAGGGUGUGUUUCCACACCUGUCACCAACAUGUCAAACCUAGGUAAGGUUCUUCGCGUUGCGUCGAAUUAAACCACAUGCUCCACCGCUUGUGCGGGCCCCCGUCAAUUCCUUUGAGUUUCAGCCUUGCGGUCGUACUCCCCAGGCGGGGUACUUCAUGCGUUAGCGCCGGCACUCAAGGGGUCGCUCCCCCAAGCACCUAGUACCCAUUGUUUACGGCGUGGACUAC